AACCAAAAGAUCGUCCCUUCUCCACGGUUAGAGGAUGCUCAUGGCUUUUACAGAGGACGUCGGCAAUCAGAACCACCAGAAUUCAUUUAUACUCCGGAAAAAGCCAGGAAAAGCCUUCCAAUGCUACUGGAGAGUAACCUGCCAUAUCAUCGAGGGCGCAGACAGUCAGCUCCUGCCAAAGACAUAGAAGUCGCAUUUCAACAAAGUG